UUAUUAUUGGAAUUAUAUAGGUCUAUGGAAGGAACUCUGAACAGUGGAAAAAUUUCUCAAAAACAAGUAUGGAAUAAAAUAUCCCAAGAUAUGAAAAAAAAAGGAUACGAUGUGACCGGACCGCAAUGUCAUUCUAAAAUACGAAGCCUAAAAAAAACAUAUAAAUCUACAAAGGAUCAUAACAAUAAGUCAGGAAAUAAUAGAAAGACAUGGCAGUUUUACGAUAUUAUGGAUGAAAUUUUUGGCAAAAAAGCAUGGUGCAAUCCAGUUGCAGUUGCAUCUUCUACUGGUCUGUCAUUGAAAGAAGCAGAAAAUAAUGAUAGUACAGCGGGAUCUGAUAGCGGAUGUUCACUAAAAAGAAGAAAGGCGUCGAUAGCAUCUUUACUGGAAAAAAGAUUGCAUCAAAAAGAGGAACAUGAAGAAAAUAAAAAAAAAAGACACUUAGAGCGAAUGAAAAUGGACGAGAAAUUUCUUGAAGUUUUAGAAAAAUUAGCCAACAAAUAAGAAUUUAAAUGUUAAAUUAAAAAAAAUUUGUUUGUAAUAAUUUGUAAAUAUUAAAAAUUUUAU